rnacentral:rRNA from 1 species
GGGGUCCUACGGGGCGCAGCAGUGGGGAAUAUUGGUCAAUGGGCGAGAGCCUGAACCAGCCAAGUUGCGUGAAGGAUGACGGCCCUACGGGUUGUAAACUUCUUUUGUCAGGGAGCAAUUGGAUCCACGCGUGGGCUUAGCGAGAGUACCUGAAGAAAAAGCAUCGGCUAACUCCGUGCCAGCAGCCGCGGUAAUACGGAGGAUGCGAGCGUUAUCCGGAUUUAUUGGGUUUAAAGGGUGCGUAGGCGGAAUAUCAAGUCAGCGGUAAAAAUUCGGGGCCCAACCCCGUCGUGCCGUUGAAACUG